AACGAACGCUGGCGGCAGGCCUAACACAUGCAAGUCGAACGCCGUAGCAAUACGGAGUGGCAGACGGGUGAGUAACGCGUGGGAACCUUCCCUAUGGUUCGGAAUAGCUCAGGGAAACCUGGGGUAAUACCGGAUAAGCCCUUCGGGGGAAAGAUUUAUCGCCAUUGGAUGGGCCCGCGUAGGAUUAGCUAGUUGGUGAGGUAACGGCUCACCAAGGCGACGAUCCUUAGCUGGUCUGAGAGGAUGAUCAGCCACACUGGGACUGAGACACGGCCCAGACUCCUACGGGAGGCAGCAGUGGGGGAUAUUGGACAAUGGGCGAAAGCCUGAUCCAGCCAUGCCGCGUGAGUGACGAAGGCCUUAGGGUUGUAAAGCUCUUUUGGCGGGGAAGAUAAUGACGGUACCCGCAGAAUAAGCUCCGGCUAACUUCGUGCCAGCCGCCGCCGUAACAC
rnacentral:rRNA from 1 species